AGACUUAUGCUAGGAGUUUGACCCUGUAAGGUGUGUCAUUGCGUUCAUCACAUCGAUUGAGGAGGAGGAGAUAUUGCAGUAAAGGUCCGAGUUUCACAACUCAUAAUAACGGGUACGAUACAUUAAAACCUUUUGGGAUAAGCAUUCAUGGUGCUGUUGAUGGAUUUUCAAGAAAGAUACUUUGGCUCAAAGCGAUGCCUUCCAACAAAAACCCGCGUGUUGUAGCUAGCUUUU
rnacentral:lncRNA from 1 species